rnacentral:rRNA from 1 species
GGACUACUGGGGUAUCUAAUCCUGUUUGCUCCCCACGCUUUCGCGCCUCAGCGUCAGUUACGGUCCAGAUAGCCGCCUUCGCCACCGGUGUUCUUCCCAAUAUCUACGAAUUUCACCUCUACACUGGGAAUUCCACUAUCCUCUCCCGUACUCAAGCACACCAGUCUCAAGCGCAAUUCCCGGGUUGAGCCCAGGGCUUUCACGCCUGACUUGGUGCGCCGCCUACGCGCCCUUUACGCCCAGUAACUCCGAACAACGCUAGCCCCCUUCGUAUUACCGCGGCUGCUGGCAC